UGAGUAACCUGCCCUUCACUCUGGGAUAACUCCGGGAAACCGGGGCUAAUACUGGAUACGACCUACUCGGGCAUCCGAUGUGGGUGGAAAGAUUUAUCGGUGAGGGAUGGACUCGCGGCCUAUCAGCUUGUUGGUGAGGUAAUGGCCNCACGAGCGACGG
rnacentral:rRNA from 1 species